rnacentral:rRNA from 1 species
AGUGAACGCUGGCGGUAGGCCUAACACAUGCAAGUCGAACGGCAGCACAGUAAGAGCUUGCUCUUACGGGUGGCGAGUGGUGGACGGGUGAGGAAUACAUCGGAAUCUACUUUUUCGUGGGGGAUAACGUAGGGAAACUUACGCUAAUACCGCAUACGACCUACGUGUGAAAGCAGGGGAUCUUCGGACCUUGCGCGAUUGAAUGAGCCGAUGUCGGAUUAGCUAGUUGGCGGGGUAAAGGCCCACCAAGGCGACGAUCCGUAGCUGGUCUGAGAGGAUGAUCAGCCACACUGGAACUGAGACACGGUCCAGACUCCUACGGGAGGAAGCAGUGGGGAAUAUUGGACAAUGGGCGAAAGCGUGAUCCAGCAAUACCGCGUGGGUGAAGAAGGACUUCGGGUUGUAAAGCCCUUUUGUUGGGAAAGAAAAGCAGCAGGUUAAUACCCCGCUGUUAUGACGGUACCCAAAGAAUAAGCACCGGCUAACUUCGUG